UGGGGAAUAUUGGGCAAUGGGGGAAACCCUGACCCAGCGACGUCGCGUGAGGGAAGAAGGUCUUCGGAUUGUAAACCUUAGUCAACAGGGACGAAAAAAAUGACGGUACCUGUGGAGGAAGCCACGGCUAACUACGUGCCAGCAGCCGCGGUAAUACGUAGGUGGCAAGCGUUAUCCGGAAUUACUGGGUGUAAAGGGUGAGUAGGCGGGUAUACAAGUCAGAUGUGAAAUAUUAUGGCUCAACCAUAAUCAGCAUUUGAAACUGUAUAUCUUGAGAGUGGGAGAGGUAAUUGGAAUUCCUAGUGUAGCGGUGAAAUGCGUAGAUAUUAGGAGGAACACCAGUGGCGAAGGCGGAUUACUGGACCACAACUGACGCUGAUGCACGAAAGCGUGGGGAGCAAACA
rnacentral:rRNA from 1 species